GUUUCAAACUCCUGACUUCACGUGACCACCAGCCUCAGCCUCCCAAAGUGCUGGGAUUACAGGCGUGAGCCACCGAGACCAGCCUCACCUCAUUCACUCUUACCUGGACGCCUGACUUUACUUGAGAUACAGGCAUAGUGAUUCUCAGCAGGAAACAGCCUGCCCCCACGUCACGCCCAGAGACCCAUCACUGGCUGCCUGGCUUGGUGACAAAGUCCAUGCAGACGGAGUUUCACCAUGUUGGCCAGGCUGCUUUCGAACUCCCUAUCUCAGGUCAUCUGACUGCCUCAGCCCCCCAGAGUGCUGGGAUUACAGGUGUAAGCUACUGUGCCCAGCCAAAUUUCCUUCCUAAUUUCUUCAUUGAACCACUGGCCAUUCCGGACCAUAUUGUUUAAUUUUCACGUGUAUGUAUAGUUUCCAGAAUUCCUCUUGUUGUUGAUUUCCACUUUUAUUCUGUUGUGGUCAGAGAAGAUGCUUGAUAUUAUUUUAACAUUUGUAAUGUUUUAAGACUUGCUUUGUGACCUAACAUAUGGUGUAUCCUUGAGAAUGAUCCAUGUGCUGAGGAGAAGAAUGUGUAUUCUGCAGACUUUAGACGAAGUGUUCUAUUUCUAAUCAGAAACAUGGAGGCCAGGAAGCAGUGGAGAAUGACGACCCUCAGGCAGCCCUGGAGGAUGCUGUCACAGGCUGGGGC